UACAGAGGGUGCGAGCGUUGUCCGGAAUCACUGGGCGUAAAGGGCGCGUAGGUGGCGCCCCAAGUCGAUGGUGAAAGCUCGCCGCUCAACGGCGAGUCGGCCACCGAUACUGGGGCGCUGGAGCACUGUAGAGGCUCAUGGAAUUCCGGGUGUAGCGGUGGAAUGCGUAGAGAUCCGGAAGAACACCGGUGGCGAAGGCGGUGAGCUGGGCAGUUGCUGACG
rnacentral:rRNA from 1 species